UACGGAGGGUGCAAGCGUUAUCCGGAUUCACUGGGUUUAAAGGGUGCGUAGGCGGCUUUGUAAGUCAGUGGUGAAAUAUGGCAGCUCAACUGUCAAGGUGCCAUUGAUACUGCGGAGCUUGAGUACAGAUGAGGUAGGCGGAAUUGACGGUGUAGCGGUGAAAUGCGUAGAGAUCGGCAGGAACACCCAGGGGGAAACCAGUCGACUGGGCAGCACCUGACGCUGAGGUGCGAGAGCGUGGGGAGCGAACCGG
rnacentral:rRNA from 1 species